AGUGAACGCUGGCGGUAGGCCUAACACAUGCCAGUCGAACGGCAGCACAGUAAGAGCUUGCUCUUACGGGUGGCGAGUGGCGGACGGGUGAGGAAUACAUCGGAAUCUACUUUUUCGUGGGGGAUAACGUAGGGAAACUUACGCUAAUACCGCAUACGACCUACGGGUGAAAGCAGGGGAUCUUCGGACCUUGCGCGAUUGAAUGAGCCGAUGUCGGAUUAGCUAGUUGGCGGGGUAAAGGCCCACCAAGGCGACGAUCCGUAGCUGGUCUGAGAGGAUGAUCAGCCACACUGCAACUGAGACACGGUCCAGACUCCUACGGGAGGCAGCAGUGCGGAAUAUUGGACAAUGGGCGCAAUCAUGAUCCAGCCAUACCGCGUGGGUGAAGAAGGCCUUCGGGUUGUAAAGCUAUUUUGCUGGGAAAGAAAAGUAGCACGUUAAUCCCCCGCUGUUCUGACGGUACCCAAAGAAUAAGCACCGGCUAACUUCGUG
rnacentral:rRNA from 1 species